CGGCUUUUACUAGGGAAGAACUAGAGGGUUUCGAUCUUCUGUGACGGUACCUAGUGAAUAAGCACCGGCUAACUCCGUGCCAGCAGCCGCGGUAAUACGGAGGGUGCAAGCGUUGUCCGGAAUCAUUGGGUGUAAAGGGUACGUAGGCGGGAGCCUAAGUCUGGGGUGAAAUCUUGCCGCUUAACGGUAAAAUGGCCCUGGAUACUGGGUUUCUUGAGUGCAGAAGAGGCAGGUGGAAUUCGUGGUGUACCGCUGAAAUGCUCCCCAUAUCACGAAAACCAUCACUGGCGAACG
rnacentral:rRNA from 1 species